rnacentral:tRNA from 1 species
GGAGACGGAUGGUUCCCUGGUGGGGCCCGCGGCCUUCAAAGCCGUUGUGAGGCGCGCAGAACGUCUUGGGUGUGUUCGAUUCGCACACGUCUCCGCCA